rnacentral:rRNA from 1 species
CUACGGGUGGCAGCAGUGAGGAAUAUUGCACAAUGGAGGAAACUCUGAUGCAGCAACGCCGCGUGGAGGAUGACGCAUUUCGGUGUGUAAACUCCUUUUAUAUGUCAAGAAAAUGACGGUAGCAUAUGAAUAAGCACCGGCUAACUCCGUGCCAGCAGCCGCGGUAAUACGGAGGGUGCAAGCGUUACUCGGAAUCACUGGGCGUAAAGGACGCGUAGGCGGGAUAUCAAGUCAGGUGUGAAAUCCUACAGCUUAACUGUAGAACUGCACUUGAAACUGGUAACCUAGAGUAUGGGAGGGGGAGAUGGAAUUAGUGGUGUAGGGGUAAAAUCCGUAGAUAUCACUAGGAAUACCUAAAGCGAAGGCGAUCUCCUGGAACAUUACUGACGCUAAGGCGUGAAAGCGUGGGGAGCAAACAGGAUUAGAUACCCUAGUAGUC